GCCAACAUGGCCUAGUAGUUUGAGCAUUGGACUACGACUCUGGAGACCAGGGUUCGAAUCUUGGCUUGGCC